UUUCUGCUCUGAUGAUGGAGUACUUGGCGCCUGCGUCUUCUCACCAGAAGUUGAAGCUACUUUAAGAACUGCAGAAGCAUAGACACCUUUCCAUUACUAUCUUCUCAAGUUCCAGGUUCUCUAUAUUGCUACGGUAUAGAUGGAGAAGGAGAAGGUUAAGGUGAAGGAGAAGACAGAGGGGAAGAAGAAGAGAUUCGACCAAAGAAAAAGAUGAGAUCCAAUAAAGAAGAAGAAGGUGAGAGAAGAAGAAGAUGCGGAGAAGAAGAAGGUGAAAGAGAAGAAGAUGCGGAGAAUAAAAAGAGUGGCUAGAAUAUUAGGUUAGGUAGGGUUUUAAUUAUUUCGGUUUACCGUCCCGAACCGAACCGAAAAUUUCGGUUAACCGAAAUGAUUUUGAAAUCCCACCGAUCGGUUAUGAUCAAUUAACAUUAACCGAACCGAUUUGGCCAAACCUCGGUUCGGUUCGGUUCGGUUCGGAAAUCUGAUUGAUUAACCAAGUUCAGUUAUCAGCUAGACAACAUAAUAAUUCACCUAGAGAGAUUCCGGCACGGUUUCUCUCUGUUCCUCCAAACUCCGGCCGAUGGCGGUAGUUCCAGAGUGCUCGUGCGGUUCAGCGGAGUAACGGCGGCGAUUCCUUCUUUCUUUUAACUCGAGGUAUACACGUAUCAUUAUUUUUCAUGGGAUCAAAUUCUAGGGGCUCUCCAAGCUCAAUAUCUUUUCUCAAAUGCUCUUCUUCUAAAAAGAAAUUUCUUUUUAAUUUAUUUUAAAUCGAAAUAUGAGACAAAGACUUUGCAACCCUUUAAAAAA